AUUACUUUGACAGAUAAGUGUUUUAAAUUUAGAAUUUAAGAAUAUAUAAUUGAGAUUAUAUAAGUAAUA
rnacentral:tRNA from 1 species